rnacentral:rRNA from 1 species
AGCGAACGCUGGCGGCAGGCCUAACACAUGCAAGUCGAACGGAUCCUUCGGGAUUAGUGGCGGACGGGUGAGUAACACGUGGGAACGUGCCCUUUGGUUCGGAACAACUCAGGGAAACUUGAGCUAAUACCGGAUGUGCCCUUCGGGGGAAAGAUUUAUCGCCAUUGGAGCGGCCCGCGUCUGAUUAGCUAGUUGGUGAGGUAAAGGCUCACCAAGGCGACGAUCAGUAGCUGGUCUGAGAGGAUGAUCAGCCACAUUGGGACUGAGACACGGCCCAAACUCCUACGGGAGGCAGCAGUGGGGAAUCUUGCGCAAUGGGCGAAAGCCUGACGCAGCCAUGCCGCGUGAAUGAAGAAGGUCUUAGGAUUGUAAAAUUCUUUCACUGGGGACGAUAAUGACGGUACCCGGAGAAGAAGCCCCGGCUAACUUCGUGCCAGCCGCCGCAGUAACAC